rnacentral:rRNA from 1 species
CCCUUAGAUGUCCUGGGCCGCACGCGCGCUACACUGACAUGUUCAACAAGUUUCUCCUAGUUCGACAGGACUGGGAAAUCUUUGAACGCAUGUCGUGAUAGGGAUAGAUCAUUGCAAUUAUUGAUCUUGAACGAGGAAUUCCUAGUAAACGCGGGUCAUCAGCCCGCAUUGAUUACGUCCCUGCCCUUUGUACACACCGCCCGUCGCACCUACCGAUUGGAUGUUUCGGUGAAGAUUCCGGAUAGGACUGAUUUGAUUUAUUUCAUUUCUGACCUAAAAGCUAUCUAAACCUCAACAUUUAGAGGAAGGUGAAGUCGUAACA